UACGUAGGGGGGCAAGCGUUGUCCGGAUUUAUUGGGCGUAAAGAGCGUGUAGGCGGCCAGGUAGGUCUGCUGUGAAAACUCGAGGCUCAACCUCGAGACGUCGGUUGAAACCGUAUGGCUAGAGUCCGGAAGAGGAGAGUGGAAUUCCCGGUGUAGCGGUGAAAUGCGCAGAUAUUGGGAAGAACACCGGAGGCGAAGGCGGGUUGCUGGGCCGACACUGACGCUGAGGCGCGAAAGCCAGGGGAGCAAACGGG
rnacentral:rRNA from 1 species